GAUGAACGCUAGCGAUAGGCUUAACACAUGCAAGUCGAGGGGCAGCAUGGUCUUAGCUUGCUAAGACUGAUGGCGACCGGCGCACGGGUGCGUAACGCGUAUGCAACUUGCCUCACAGAGGGGGAUAACCCGUCGAAAGACGGACUAAUACCGCGUACACUUACAGGAGGGCAUCCUUCAGUAAGGAAAUGAAAUUCGCUGUGAGAUAGGCAUGCGUCCCAUUAGCUAGUUGGUGAGGUAACGGCUCACCAAGGCAACGAUGGGUAGGGGAACUGAGAGGUUGAACCCCCACACUGGUACUGAGACACGGACCAGACUCCUACGGGAGGCAGCAGUGAGGAAUAUUGGUCAAUGGGCGAGAGCCUGAACCAGCCAAGUCGCGUGAAGGAUGACUGUCUUAUGGAUUGUAAACUUCUUUUGUAGGGGAAUAAAGACCAGUACGGGUACUGGAGUGAAUGUACCCUACGAAUAAGCAUCGGCUAACUCCGUG
rnacentral:rRNA from 1 species